GACUUGGCUACUGAACUGUCACCGUAUGGUGUGCGUUCGUGAGAAUCCUCACGAUAGGUGCCAGGUCGCUU
rnacentral:sRNA from 1 species